AUACGUAUGCUAUACUUAAUCAGCAGGGUUUUAUGGGCGGUGGCUGUCUUUUCCCCUUGAGGUGAUGCGUAUGGGAAACCGGAAGCAAUCUGAGAAAGGGUUUCACAGCCAAUGAGUGUGUUUCAGGCACUCUCGUUGAUGUUAUUGUUUGGCACGUUUUUACUAGCGCUGCUGACCUACAU
rnacentral:sRNA from 1 species